rnacentral:lncRNA from 1 species
AUUAAUUAAUAAAGAGGUAUUCGACGUCUGAUAAAAAGAAAAUUAAAAAUAAAACGCUUACACUACCCGACUAGAUCUGUGAUGUCAAAAAAAAAAAAACCAGAGAGCAGAAGAAAAAAAACAAAAGGCUGGCGACAAUAGGGAAGAAAAAUAAUCAACAAGGUUUGGCUAUGGGAAAAAAUCAUAGCAACAAAUGGCCAAAGGGAAAAAAUCAAGCAACCGGCGGUAACAACUGUGGGCAGUACUGGGCGACGACAAAGGUAAAUAAAGUAAUGAGACUUUUGGUAGAACUUAAUCUUUUGUGAAGAUGAUCAGUGUAACGCCCUGAUUUAUUAAAUCUUACCUUUUUUAAGAAUUUUGUCAUAAAUCAGUAUCUAUUUUAGUGGUUAAGUGAUAUAAGUGACUGUUUGAGAUCUUGGGUUCAAGUUCCACUUUUAGAAAUUCUGUUAUUUUUGUUCCUAACCUUGUUCCUUAAUGGCUUCACUUAUAUUAUAUUUUCGGGCAACUUAUAUUAGAAUGAGCCUAUUGAUUCAAGUGGUAAGUGUUAGCUUACCCCAGGGUCUUGUGUUUGAAUCCCCGAGUGAGCAUUGGCCAAUCAUUUUUGCCUCUGAGUGUGUGUGCCAGUUGUGUAUUAGAGGUUUGGUGGAAUUGAAAUUCGAAGGUAGUUGGAUGAAGAUCAGUGUGUCAGUUUUGGUGGGAUUUGGUUGUUAGUGGAGAGUUGAGAUUAUUUUUCUUAAUUUUAAUUUUAAUUUUAUUUUAUUUCCCAAAACUUCUCUUCUUCCUUAUGUUCUUUUUGUUUCCCUACAAUUUUUAUUUUCUUUUACUUUUUCCAUUCUACACGUAAGAUCUUGAAAAGAAAAUUUCUUUUUGAUUUUUGGUCUUAAGUGAUUUAUUUCCCUUGUUCUUGCUGUUCAAAUCAGUAUAGGGUUUGAUUGUAUUGGUUGCUAUUUGGUUAAUGUAAGUCUCGUUCUCCUUCUCCCGUAUUAUAGCAUUUUCUUCAUUAUUUUUUGAUGGUGUUGAGGUGUGGUGGGUUUUGUGUCUAUGUUAAUCAAUUGGUUGGUUUUAGGAGAAGCUUUCGAAGCGAAUAAUCUAUCGGUGAAUUAGUAAUUGUGCGAGUGCUGUCCACAAUCAAGGGUAAGUGUUUGAAAUAGUUCGAGUGCAAUCCUUUUUGUUGAAACUGCUUAUGAGUGCACUGUAGUCAAGUAGUUAUUUGAUUAAAAUUGAGGGAUUAAAGAUUGAUUUUUGGUGUUUUAUUAUCGAUUUUUAGGUACUGUUACUUCGAGGGUGUUGUUGUAACGAAAUCGAAGUAGGUGUGUAAUUAGAAACUCGAACGGUGACCGAUGAAAGCCGAAAUUGGGGCCUGUCGAUGCCAUACGAUUGUGUGGCUAGCUGUUUCUAGGUCAUUUUGGGUCGUGUGGGUCACAUGGGCUUGUGUGGACCGUGUGGGCUACACGAGCCAGGCCAUUUAGGGUGUGUGGGCCCAAAUUCCAGAAUUUUUCCCUAGGGUCAUACAUGUCGUCCCGAUCGACUCUAGGCCUUCUGUAGGGUUGGUAUGUAUGGUAUAAGCCGUAAAGCUUGAAAUUUGCUACUUUGUUAGAUUGAAAUUAACGUAAAUAACAUCUAUAUAAGUACUAUGCAAUAUGGUAUUUAUGAUUUGUUAUGUUAUGUAUAAGCAUGUUUAGUAUCUGUUAUAUGAGCAUGCAGGUGAUAUACGUUAUGGUAUCUAUUAUUCUAUUACAUCUGAUAUUAUGUUUGUAUUUGACUAUGGGGCAGGUUAUGUAUUAUGAGGAGGAAGUAUUCUAUGUGAGGCGAUAUCUCGCAAAUAUACUAGCAACACUGUUGCGAUUAUUCUAAAAGGUGUCGUAUGAACACUAUACGGUAGGGUUGGGUGGGUGUUUUAUACCUCACGUGGUGUGUUGGGAUGGUCGGA